rnacentral:rRNA from 1 species
GACGAACGCUGGCGGCGUGCUUAACACAUGCAAGUCGAACGGAAAGGCCCUGCUUUUGUGGGGUGCUCGAGUGGCGAACGGGUGAGUAACACGUGAGUAACCUGCCCUUGACUUUGGGAUAACUUCAGGAAACUGGGGCUAAUACAGGAUAGGAGCUCCUGCUGCAUGGUGGGGGUUGGAAAGUUUCGGCGGUUGGGGAUGGACUCGCGGCUUAUCAGCUUGUUGGUGGGGUAGUGGCUUACCAAGGCUUUGACGGGUAGCCGGCCUGGGAGGGUGACCGGCCACAUUGGGACUGAGAUACGGCCCAGACUCCUACGGGAGGCAGCAGUGGGGAAUAUUGCACAAUGGGCGGAAGCCUGAUGCAGCAACGCCGCGUGCGGGAUGACGGCCUUCGGGUUGUAAACCGCUUUCGCCGGUGACGAAGCGUGAGUGACGGUAAUGGGUAAAGAAGCACCGGCUAACUACGUG